CGUAGGGGGCAAGCGUUAUCCGGAUUUACUGGGUGUAAAGGGAGCGCAGACGGCAGUGCAAGUCUGGAGUGAAAGCCCGGGGCCCAACCCCGGAACUGCUCUGGAAACUGUGCGGCUAGAGUACUGGAGGGGCAGGCGGAAUUCCUAGUGUAGCGGUGAAAUGCGUAGAUAUUAGGAGGAACACCAGUGGCGAAGGCGGCCUGCUGGACAGUAACUGACGUUGAGGCUCGAAAGCGUGGGGAGCAAA
rnacentral:rRNA from 1 species